AUUGAACGCUGGCGGCAGGCCUAACACAUGCAAGUCGAACGGUAACAGGAAGAAGCUUGCUUCUUUGCUGACGAGUGGCGGACGGGUGAGUAAUGUCUGGGAAACUGCCUGAUGGAGGGGGAUAACUACUGGAAACGGUAGCUAAUACCGCAUAACGUCGCAAGACCAAAGAGGGGGACCUUCGGGCCUCUUGCCAUCGGAUGUGCCCAGAUGGGAUUAGCUAGUAGGUGGGGUAACGGCUCACCUAGGCGACGAUCCCUAGCUGGUCUGAGAGGAUGACCAGCCACACUGGAACUGAGACACGGUCCAGACUCCUACGGGAGGCAGCAGUGGGGAAUAUUGCACAAUGGACGCAAGCCUGAUGCAGCCAUGCCGCGUGUAUGAAGAAGGCCUUCGGGUUGUAAAGUACUUUCAGCGGGGAGGAAGGGAGUAAAGUUAAUACCUUUACUCAUUGACGUUACCCGCAGAAGAAGCACCGGCUAACUCCGUG
rnacentral:rRNA from 1 species